AAAAUCGUAAACAUAUGUUCUUAUUUUAAAAGGGGGCAAGAAGGGUUCCAUUAACAGGCCAAUAAAUAAGAUUACAGUUAAUUUUAAAAAAAAAUUAAAAAAAUAGGGGUAUUUUUUCUCUCAUAAUAACAGUAAACAGAUUCACAACAAUGUCAAUUUCAAGAAAGCAGACAACAGUUAAUUAGUCAAUAACAGUACAGCAUCAAUGAUCUUGAAUAUAUGCCACUUUUAACUAAAAUAUAAAGGCACAGAACCAGGACAUAGGAGCACAGAACCAGGACCGUUUUUCUUAUCACCAGCACAGCGUCAGGACAAUUCCGUUUAACGAAC
rnacentral:lncRNA from 1 species